rnacentral:rRNA from 1 species
AUUGAACGCUGGCGACAUGCCUUACACAUGCAAGUCGAACGGCAGCACGGGUGCUUGCACCUGGUGGCGAGUGGCGAACGGGUGAGUAAUACAUCGGAACAUGUCCUGUAGUGGGGGAUAGCCCGGCGAAAGCCGGAUUAAUACCGCAUACGAUCUACGGAUGACAGCGGGGGACCUUCGGGCCUCGCGCUAUAGGGUUGGCCGAUGGCUGAUUAGCUAGUUGGUGGGGUAAAGGCCUACCAAGGCGACGAUCAGUAGCUGGUCUGAGAGGACGACCAGUCACACUGGGACUGAGACACGGCCCAGACUCCUACGGGAGGCAGCAGUGGGGAAUUUUGGACAAUGGGCGAAAGCCUGAUCCAGCAAUGCCGCGUGUGUGAAGAAGGCCUUCGGGUUGUAAAGCACUUUUGUCCGGAAAGAAAUCCUUGGCCCUAAUACGGUCGGGGGAUGACGGUACCGGAAGAAUAAGCACCGGCUAACUACGUG